CAGUGGGGAAUCUUAGACAAUGGGGGAAACCCUGAUCUAGCCAUGCCGCGUGAGCGAAGAAGGCCUUAGGGUUGUAAAGCUCUUUCAGCUGGGAGGAUAAUGACGGUACCAGCAGAAGAAGCCCCGGCUAACUCCGUGCCAGCAGCCGCGGUAAUACGGAGGGGGCUAGCGUUGUUCGGAAUUACUGGGCGUAAAGCGCGCGUAGGCGGACUAGUCAGUCAGGGGUGAAAUCCCGGGGCUCAACCCCGGAACUGCCUUUGAUACUGCUAGUCUAGAGUUCGAGAGAGGUGAGUGGAAUUCCGAGUGUAGAGGUGAAAUUCGUAGAUAUUCGGAGGAACACCAGUGGCGAAGGCGGCUCACUGGCUCGAUACUGACGCUGAGGUGCGAAAGUGUGGGGAGCAAACAGGAUUAGAUACCCUGGUAGUCCACACCGUAAACGAUGAAUGCCAGUCGUCGGGUAGCAUGCUAUUCGGUGACACACCUAACGGAUUAAGCAUUCCGCCUGGGGAGUACGGUCGCAAGAUUA
rnacentral:rRNA from 1 species